AGCAGGGCUGCGUUACCGUUUCAUAAUCCUGAUCCCAACAAACUCCAACGAUCCUUGGCCCUGCAGGCAUGACCAAAUGACAGAGAAGCUUGCUUCUGCCUAGAGAGGCUUAAAAGUUCACUCACGGGAAUUAAUCCAGAGAACAGGAUCAAGGCUGAAGCAGUUUUCUUUCUUCUGUUUGUUCAGCUGGUGUUUGGGCCCCCUUAGGUUGCUCACAAGGCAACCUUAAUAUGUCACGGCACGUCACAGAUGCAGCAUGUAGGUGUUGUUCCCUCAAAACUAGGUGACUUUCUGAAAGUCCUGAUGUCAUGAGAAGGUGUCCAUCCUCCUCCUGCUCUUUAGUGUGGGGACCCUUUCGCAGUCCAGUGAAGUCUGCAAAGC